AUGCAAGGCCACACGGAGCUCAGGAAGGGCCAAGGCCGAGACCCUCGGGUCCUCUUUGGAAAGGGGCGCCCCCUAAUCCCCGUGGGAGAAAAGGUGAGGGGAGAGUGGAGAUCCCACCGGGCCAGCCCAGGGGUUAAUCAUCUGGAUAAUCGGGAAAGGGCGCUGCCCGGCCUGGUCGCUGUCACCGAGAGUGUCAGUCACCAGCUCUCGACCCGCCGCAGAAAUUACCUGCUCCAAGAGACAUCCCACGGAGCCCUCCGCACUGAGCUGUCCCCGCCCGCUGUCUGCGGGAAGCAAACCGCGCCCUCGUUCAAAAGAAGCGGAUGCCCCUUUGACCCUCCUCCUCCCCCAGACGGUUCCCAAAUCCAGAAGGGCAGUGCCGGCUCGGGAUCGCUCCCAACUCCUACAGCGCAGCUCCAGCUUCCGGGCUACCUGCCUAUUACACAGUCCGUCUACCAAAAGGAAAAAAAAAGUGGUGGUGGAGGCGAGCGCCCCCAGCCCAAUUCGCCCCGACUGGGAACCCACGGGGUGCUGAACAGACGUCAGCUCUCUCUGCUCCUGCUCAGUCCCCGCGGGCAAGGAAGCGCCAGCGGCUGGAGAAGGUGGUUUCGGUCUCCCGUGGGUGCCCCUGACCCGAGGGGGCACCACACAGCCGAGGCAGCUGAGGUCGCAGCCGAAGUCACCUUCUCUCCGCACAGGAAAAUGCUCGUUCCCCGGGCCGAGCGCUUCCGCCGCGCGCUGAUCCCACCCGCCAAGCCCCGAAGGAGCCGGCGGCGCAGCGGCCCAGGCCCGGCCCCAGCACUGCUCCGGACUCCCGGUAGGGGGAGCCUCCCCGGGCGCGGGGCCAGCCCGGGUCCCGGCCUCCCCGCUCGGCCUCGCAGCCCGCGCGGCCGCCUCUCCACCUGCCCGUGGGGGAAGGGAGCCCCGCGCCGAGCCUGCCCCCAUCCCCGGCUGCUGCACCGCAGAGAAGACAGACACGACCGAAGUGCAUUCUUGAGGUCCAAAUAUAGGAGCGGCUCAGAAGCUUUCAUUUUAGGAUAUGACCAAUGUUCAGAGAACAACCCAAAUUCAGGGUGAAGGGGAAAGAAGUCAGCCACACUGUGAACCCACAGAUCACUCUACUGUGCCCCGUGUGGUCGAACACCUGAGCUCGAGGGGCCAGAGAAUUCCUGGAGGAUACUCCGCAGAUAAAACCUGCAAGCUCCCCUUCUGCAAAAAGCCAUCCUUCCCGCAGGAAUCCACAGCGCAGAAGAGCUCUCAUAAGGCCAAGUCAUCAAGAGCUCUUCAGAGAGAAUUGCAUAAGCAAAGAAUUUCACACUUGGAAGGAAACUUAAAGACCACUUAGUCUAAUGGUUGUGGUUUACUGGUGAGGAGCUUGAGCUCAGUAGACGGGAGGCAGAUUCACACUCCAGGUGAGAAAAUCCCUGAAUGCGGAGUUGAGCCUCCAACUCUCCUCUUUUGACCCUCAGUCCAGGACUGUUUGGACCGCAGGACACCAGAAAUGCAUUUUACUGUUGUUGCUAUCCCGGUAAUUACGAAUAUAUUUCCACAUAGUUUAGAGUGCUUAGUAAGACAUACUUCUUUCAUAAUAUUGCAACAAUAGCAAAAUCUGCAAGGUCUGUGUGAAAAGAAUAUUACAGUUGGUUCAAGGGACGCUGAAUUUUGGAAGUGAAGUUGCAUAUAGUAUUGAGGCAUUUGGGGGAGAGACUAAACAAAAGUGGUUGUAUUGUUUUAUCCCAAUUUAAGAACAUGCAAUAUAUGCAAAUAUAUGAAUAAAUGAACAAAACAGUACAAAAAACCCAGGAUCGUGGUAUUAUAAAGCAUUCUUUAUUUUUUAAAGGCAUUCUUCUAAGUUGUGUGGUUUUUCUCCAAAAAUCAGAGCUAUUUUAGUGCAUAUAAGCAUUUGUUUUAUAGGGUUUUUUUUUUUUGUUUAUAGGUUUUUAAAGUAUUGAAUUCUGAUGCCAUUUUUAAGGACCAAAGACAAAUAAUAUAUACAUUUCUAAAAUCAGAUUUAAAAAAAUAAAAAUCUAAUUUCUAAAAAGUAGAGUUAGCCACAAUGGGGGAAAUUUUUUUGAAUAAAAUAUUAUAGGAUAAACCUAUAAGAAAACACUCUACUGCGUGUCUAAUAAACCCUGAGGUAUAAAUGAUAUUCUAUCAUUUUCUCCACAACUACUUUAUUUUUUUGAUAAGGUCAACACAAAAAUUGUCAUUUACAAGGACACUCCACUAUUCCUUUUUUGUACCUGGUUCAAAAGGGCAAAGACAUACAUUAUCAAAUGGAAAUGUCUCAGUCUCUUUCCGUAACUAAUGUCUGAUCUUUAGCAAAUGGCGCUGUGAUGUCAUUGAAAUGGGUAUUGGACAAGGUACCAAUUGAUUUAUUGAUUUCCCUUCUUCAAAGUCCACUGGGAAUUGGGGAGAAGGAAAAACAUAGGUUGGCUGAAAUGUGCAUUACUUAUACUAUCAUACACACGCGAAAAUUUAUUUGGUUGAUAAAAUUGACAACUGAGAAGCACUGCUUACAGAAAUUCAUAAAGGAAUGACGUGGAGGCCACGCAGUUGAUCAACCUGCUUCUCCCCCAUCCUGUCACUGUAUUUGCCCGUCGGAUUUCAACCUUAUAGAAGGCAAAAAAGACCAAGUUUUCAGCUAGCCUAUACACAACAAUGGGAGCAGGAGGAAAAAAAGGAGGCUGGGGCGGGGCAGGAAACAGAAUAGGCACAUUUGCUUCCAAAGGCAACCCCAUAAAUCCUGCUCCAGGGCCCUGACAGCUUGGCAGUGUUCCUGAAGACUGGCACUCGAUGGGGAUCUCACCAGGGGUCUCGGUGGUCUGUGGGCUGGAGUGACCUCCCACCCGGGACCGGCCUUCCUUCGGCCUACACCUGUGACGGGUUACAGAGCCUACAGCCAACCCAGGACAAUAAAGAGAAUAAGGCUGCUCUGAGUGUCUUUCGUUUCUUAGGAGAGGAUUUCAAAGCCAGGCUCCUUUCAGCCUUAAUCAUUGAAGUAGAUUUUUGAGGAGAAAGACUUUUACUCUGAGUCCUGUUAAAAAUGCCAAUGCAAUCGCCUGGAGAAACUCUACAUUGUAACAUCUGCCUAGGAAUUACUACACACAACAGUAUCUACAGCAAAGCUGAAAAUAAAUGAAUAAAAACAAACCUCAGACUUCCACUCCCCUGGCAUUCCCUAUGGGCGAGCUGCAUUGAGUAACAGCGAAGAUUUACUCUAAUGCAUCCUAAACACGCUGCAUAUUAGCUACUUUGUCUUUCCUGUUCCUUCCCCCUGCUUUAAGAAAAAUGGAACAUCUUUGCCUUCCAGAGCUUUCUCUUCCUUUAGCUCAAUCCUCUGGGUUUAGCACCACCAUCUAGGAAAUCCCUGCUGGUUAAGGUGAGUUGACUUUGGUUUGUGCCCAUGGGAGUAGGAGGAAGGAUAGGGUGGAGCGAGUUUCUCUUGCUCACCACUCCAGAAGAGGGGUGUGCUUCAAGCUCUCUACUCAUGCCCCCCUCCCGCCCCUGCCCAAGCUGGAUCCUCGGAGAAGGCUGGUGUCAAAGAGAUGUUGGGUGUGGGAGUAUGAUGGAGAGAAAAGUAGAACCAUGACAACUUUUAAGGAGGUUAGGCCAGUGUGUGCUUGGACCUGGUGCAGAAAAUGCUUUUAAAAAUAAACACAUAAAUGUAUUUAAACAAUAGUAUUCAUCUUCUUGCAGUCAUAAGUUUAAUAACCAUAAAAAAUUCUUAAAAAUCUGUAAAUAUUGGGGAAGGGAGGUGAAGUAGUGUGCUUCAGAGCUUUAAGCCUACAGGGUAAGUCAAUUCUGCCUUUGUCACUUACUAGCAGUGAAACCUGGAGGAGGUUAACUCACCUUUCUGAACUUCAUUUUCCCUGUCAAAUAGGCAUAAUAGCAACAGCCAUCCCAUAAAACUGAGGAGUAAACGAAAUACUACAUGUAAGUUGCUUAAGACAGUUCCUGCAACAACUGAACAACUUGAAAAAUGUUCACUAUAUUAUGUUAGAAUUGCUGAUCCAAUUGAGAGAGACUCAAUUCAUAUUGCAGAUCACUGAAUGGGAACGAGGAGUUGAAGCUUGGAUCGCAUUAUUCUCCUAGAUCCAUUUCUUAAGACAAAAUAACUCAGGGUGGGCACCUGGGUGGCUCAGUGGUUGAGCGUCUGCCUUAGGCUCAGGUCGUGAUCCCGGGGUCCUGGGAUCAAGUCCCACAUUGGGCUCCUCACAGGGAGCCUGCUUCUCCCUCUGCCGUGUCUCUGCCUCUCUCAUGAGUAAAUAAAUAAAAUAUUAAAAGAAAAAAAAGAUAACAGAGGGAACCUUAUAUUACUUCAUAACCAAUGAAAAUUUUUUUUUUCUGAAUUUUAGUAAGCAUUUCUCAAGAACAUUUUCAUCAGCACUCUGUCCAUCCCUACAGCAGAGGCUCCUGAUCUGGGCAAGGGAGGCAGAGAUUAUGAAGACUAUCUUGCCCAGAGGUCAUUCCCAAGUCUUCCAUACAGGGUUAUGCUCAGGCAGGUGGAACUUUUCAUCAUACUGUCCCUGAGGUGUGACAUUAUGUUUGCUCAGGGUACAGGAAAAGAGACUCAGAGACCAUGUCCUCUGUUCUUUGUUUGCUGCUGCAGGGACACAUGGUGUCCUACCGAAUGGAGAGAACCCUUUAGGCUGACUCUGAG
rnacentral:lncRNA from 1 species